ensembl:lncRNA
UAUAUAUAAUCACCAACAGAAUUUUAAGAGACUAUUCAAGCAUUUUUGUGAGGAGACAGAGAGCGAACGGUCGUGUGGUUCUUCGCUGUUGUAGCUCCGGUGUCUUGGCGUACACUCGCAGUAGGAGAGGUGGUCUCUUCUCUCUCUCCUUCCUUUUGUGAGAUUUUUUUUGAUCUUCAGCUACAUUUUCAGCUUUGUGAG